GAUGAACGCUGGCGGCGUGCCUAAUACAUGCAAGUAGAACGCUGAAGGAGGAGCUUGCUCUUCUGGAUGAGUUGCGAACGGGUGAGUAACGCGUAGGUAACCUGCCUGGUAGCGGGGGAUAACUAUUGGAAACGAUAGCUAAUACCGCAUGACAACAGUUAUUGCAUGAUAACUGUUUAAAAGGGGCAACUGCUCCACUACCAGAUGGACCUGCGUUGUAUUAGCUAGUUGGUGAGGUAACGGCUCACCAAGGCGACGAUACAUAGCCGACCUGAGAGGGUGAGCGGCCGCACUGAGACUGAGACACGGCCCAGACUCCUACGGGAGGCAGCAGUAGGGAAUCUUGGGCAAUGGACGGAAGUCUGACCGAGCAACGCCGCGGGAGUGAAGAAGGUUUUCGGGUCGUAAAGCUCUGUUGUAAGAGAAGAACGAGUGUGAGAGUGGAAAGUUCACACUGUGACGGUAUCUUACCAGAAAGGGACGGCUAACUACGUG
rnacentral:rRNA from 1 species